UACGUAGGUGGCGAGCGUUGUCCGGAAUUAUUGGGCGUAAAGCGCGCGCAGGUGGGAUCUUAAGUCUGUUCUGAAAGUGCGGAGCUUAACUCCGUGAUGGGAUGGAAACUGGGAUUCUUGAGUAUCGGAGAGGAAAGCGGAAUUCCCCGUGUAGCGGUGAAAUGCGUAGAUAUGGGGAGGAACACCAGUGGCGAAGGCGGCUUUCUGGACGAUGUCUGACACUGAGGCGCGAAAGCCAGGGGAGCGAACGGGAUUAGAUACCCCGGUAGUCCUGGCCGUAAACGAUGGGUACUAGGUGUGGGGGGUGUCAACUCCUCCCGUGCCGGCGCUAACGCAAUAAGUACCCCGCCUGGGGAGUACGGCCGCAAGGUUG
rnacentral:rRNA from 1 species